AGGACUAACGCUGGCGGCGUGCCUAACACAUGCAAGUCGAACGAGAGUAGCAAUACUCUAGUGGCAGACGGGUGAGUAACACGUGGUCAACCUUCCCUAGCGUGGGGGAUAACUAGCCGAAAGGUUAGCUAAUACCGCAUGACAUCGUCGAGUGGCAUCAUUUGACGAUCAAAGGAGCAAUCCGCGCAAGGACGGGACCGCGUCCCAUUAGCUAGUUGGUGAGGUAACGGCCCACCAAGGCUUCGAUGGGUAGCUGGUUUGAGAGAGCGACCAGCCACACUGGGACUGAGACACGGCCCAGACUCCUACGGGAGGCAGCAGUGAGGAAUUUUCCGCAAUGGGCGAAAGCCUGACGGAGCGACGUCGCGUGUGGGAAGAAGGCCUUCGGGUCGUAACCACUGUCGAAGGGGAAGAUAUUGACGGUACCCUUGGAGGAAGCCCCGGCUAACUACGCGCCAGCAGCCGC
rnacentral:rRNA from 1 species